UGCCAUUUGUUGGUACUUUAAAAACUGGGACAUUCUCGAUUUGAUUAUGCUGUUUUCCUCUCAGCUUCUCUAAGAUUCAGAAAGAGAUAUAGAUCCCAGAUGAGGGUCUCUGGGAUUUUUCUAGAUGCCUUUCACAAUUUUUAAAAUGUUCAUCUUUUCUGUUGCCUCCUCCUCUGUGCCUCCCUCCGUCAUUUCCUCCUCCUCCUUCUCCUCCUCCUCCUUCUCCUCCUUCUCCUCCUCCUCCUUCUCCUCCUCCUCCUCCUCCUCCUCCUCCUCCUCCUCCUCCUCCUCCUCUAUUUUUUACCAUAAAUGUUUGGAUCUGAGAGAUCCAUUUGUCAGCAGCAAAGACUGAAAACACCUUAAAAUAUGUUGGAGGGCAGAGUAUUGGGGAAAAGGCCUUGCUUAUGCCCAACAAAUAACCUAUAUUUAGAAUCUUUCCUCAGUUUUUCCUUUAAAAUUCUUAUUCUCAUUUCGCUUGAAUGACUCUGCAUGGAGCAUUUAAAAGUAGAUCAAACAGAACUCUAUAAAUAUGUUGAGUUCUUUUGGGCAUUUUGCCCAAAUCAGCCUUGCUAAAUCAGAGAAGAGCAAAGUGCUUUAAUAUGUUGGAUUUUCUUCCCUGCAAAAAUCCAGAAUUUUUCUCCCAAAGACUAGCUGCCUAGGCCGAGGAAACCUUCGUGAAGUAGCCUUUGAGUGGGAGGUGCUCUGAAAGGCUAAAGCCAAGGCCUGAGAGUAGCUGGAGGCAAUCAACAGAACUGGUGUGCUUAGAGACCUCGCUGAUUAUGUUUUCUCAGUGUGAUGCGUUUAUGCCUCUCUGAUGGGAAAAAAAAAAAAGGCUGGUGAAAAGAAAAUUGGUUGAGCUGGUAUAGGUAAUUUAACAAAGAUGCUUUCUACUAGAUUUAUGAAUGUAAAACCAAAUGUUACAAAGGAUGGAGUCAAGUAAAAGGAAGCCCUCCUGUAAAGCAGGUCUCUGCCUAUCACACCCAUGUUGUACACAAGGAAACUGAUGCCAAGGGCCUAUGGUAGUUGUACAUGGGAGCCCUCUGGCUCUGUGUCUCUACUACCUUUUGAGCUGCAGGAAUUUUUGACAUGACCAUAAUGCUUCCAGUGUGAACUAUGUGUCUAUGAGCAGGAAAAUCACAGCUCAUAUUAGCCUUUCACAGUAUUUUACAUAGCAUUUUUAUAAGAUAGUUGAGGUGGAAAACAUUUCAUGAGUUCUUCAUGUGCAUGACACCAGAAUUACAGAUGUGGCUUUUGAACAUCAGAGUAUAGCAUGGUGUAGUCCGUAGUCCCUGGAAUGGACAGCCAGAAGCGUCAGGAGUUCAAGAUCACCUUUAACAGUACAGCAAGGUCCAGAUCAUAAGGACUAGGCUGCGUCAAACCCUGCUUUAAAAGCAAAUAAACAUUAAAAAAUUAUCU
rnacentral:lncRNA from 1 species